GAAAAUGAUAUUCCGUGUGGGCUUGGUGUUGUUGACGUCCAUGCUGGGUACUCGGGAUAAGCUCAAGGCCUGUCCGGGUCAGUACGAGACCAUGGAGGUCCUCAGAGCGAUUGAGCCCAGAUACAUGCAGGAGGGCUUCUUAGUGCUCCAGGUUCUGGAGUUGCAGGUAUCGGCACAGGACGUGGAACGUGAGCAACGCACGCAGCUGAAGCGCUGGAAGAAGAAGCGCGGCGAGCCUGGCCCCAAACUCCCUCAGAGAAUGCACAGUGCUCGCGCCAUCAUGGCCACCGAGCCUCAUACACACCAAGACCUCCGCCAGAAACCCACCAUUAUGGUCCAGUACCCAUCGAUCCCUGAGGAAAAGUCUGAGCCGAACCUCAGGAAGAAGAGAGGGAGCCUGAAGAAAAACCAAGCCCUCAUUACUAACCCCUACGCUCUACCUGGCGAGUCUAAACCUAGUCAGAUAUUGGACUUACAGCUUCUGAACCAGGAAAAUCUAAAUCUUGUACUUCCAAAUCCACUAUCACAUCCACCACGGCUCCCUACAAUGCAGGAAAAUCAGGUCAAAGAGACGAGCACUUCUACAGAGCGACUCGUCCUCGAAUUCCUCCAUCGAUAAGAAACCGGCGGAAUCUAUCCCUCUGCAACAUCUAUCCCUCCUAACUGCUCCUGUACACGGAUCACCUUCAGCGUGGCGUCCUCACCUGCUGAAAUGUCCUCCUGUCCAAUCCAGAGAACCUGACCAUGAUGAGCUCCCUAAUAAUACAGAAAACUCAGCCACCGUUUUGGAUCCAUCUACAGACUCAAGCCCUCUGCUUACGCACAACGCACCUGCCCCCCACGACUCGCCUGCUGCUCCCGAGAGGCGGAAGAAACCCCGAGAGGUCAAUUAAGGGUCAGUGGAGAGUCAGAGAAAAUCCCAGAAAAAUACUGUAUCCUCAGCACCUCACACGCUGCCAUCUUAGUGUCACUGCGGUGCUGAGAAUGCUCCACCCCCCUAAUGAACCCUAAUGGUCUAAUCAGUUUUCCUUUCCAUUAAUGGAUGGUGUAGAGAACGGCUAACGAAUUGUGCCUAGCAUCAGACGAGUUACAGUCACUAGUGUACUUCAGUAACGUAGAUUUACACUCUGACUCGCCUUAUGGGACCAAACAAAUACAUUACUGGAACUUUGACAUGCGUGUCCCUAAAUCUGAUGGGAAGUGGAGAGUCACGCUACUGUAGGACCAGCUCUUAACUCUCAAAUCCAGAGCAGAAUGUGAGGUUCUGAGGUUUUUACAUCUGAGGCUGCUCAUCUGAGGAUCUACCUCUGAAAGCUCUGCAUCUGUGGCUCUACCUCUGAGGUUCUAUGUCCGAGUCUCUGCAUCUGAGGCUGUAUAUCCGAAGCUGUACAUCUGUGGCUGUACAUCUGAGGAUCUCCCUCUGAGGCUGUUUGUCUAGGACUGUACAUCUGUGGCUCUGCGUCUGAGGAUCUGCGUGUGUGGCUGUGCACGUCUGAGGUGUGGGGGCGGUCCGUCUGAGGCUCUGAGUUCAAGGCUUUACAUUUGAGGCCCUUCCUUUGAGUCUGCUGUCUGUGUUUCUGUUACUCUCUCAUUUGGCUCAUGUGAGGUCAUUUUAACCAUUUUAUGUUUGUACAUUAAUGGGAUUGGUUAGAACUGCAGAGUGGGUGUGUGCGAAUAUUCAGUUUUCAUAUCGCUAAUGUAUAUGGUACAUUAUAUCGAACAGCGCAAAACUUUUAAAAAUCUAUUUAGUAGGAUUGACGUGACAUUGUGGACUUUUUCCUUAACUUUACAAAUGUGAAAAUUACUUAGAAGCUCAGCUUGAAAAACAAAUUUAAAAAUGCUGCCUAGGUAGUAGGCGAUUAUAAUAAUAUCUUCUCGUUAUUUGAAUGAAUUUAGUCAAUUUUAAGUCGGUAUGGUGUCGUUAGGGAGCAACUAAAACUAGGCACAACUGUGAAUUUCAUAAUAAGUGAUGUUUGUUUCAUAAUUUUGAGCCAGUCAGAUCGUGGUUUUGUUUUUAAAUUAAUUGACUAUACACUAUGUUUUUAUUUGAGCUAUUUUAUACCAGUGGAUUUUUUUUUACGUGCCUGGAUUUUUAAUUUCAUUUUGAAAGUGCCAAAAGUCUUAAAUCAUAGUUUAAUAAUCAGAUAUGUGAACAUGGCACUAAUGCUAGACCAAGUAUUGCUACAUUCAGUUCAUUCCAACUUAUUUUUAUUCCAAGUUAGGUAAUAAUUUUAUCACACACACACACACGUGUGAUUAUCGUUUUGCCCUAAUCUUCCACCGCCGCUAUGGAGACAGCCUCUUUCUGAACUGAAAGCAGGAGUAUUGAUGAUUUUUAAAUUUUUUUAUUGUGCGUGUUAAACAGUGUGAUACGUUGAGGAAUUGAUUAUUGGCACACGUCUACUGAAUAGCAAGGAUCGUUAAGUCUUUAACGUGUUAUAGUUUACACCGGAGUAACUGCAAACAAUCUGAGAAAGGGAGAAACCCGUGAGCUACUAGAGGGCACACUUUCCAAAAAUGUACACACACUCCACAAAAACUCUGCAGUGCCUGAGGAGUGUUUACUCGCUCCAGUCUUCAGAAGGGAAACUACCUACAGAUUCACUUUUGAAAGACUUUCACAGGCAUCACAAACAUUUGUUUAUAUUACACUCGUAUUAAUUUGGCAGAUUUUUUUUUUAUUAAUCCGAAGCAACCACCACUUCUUUGUGUUUGUAUUUCACAAAUUUCCUUACCACAUCUUACAAGAGCUGCACGACAAUCACAACAAUCCUAUGCAAUAGGCACAUCCUUUUCAUUAACAUAAUCUCAAUGAAAUAUCUACUCUGUCUGUAUACUUUACGCGCAAACAAAACAACUCAAGCUGAGAACUUUAUUGCUGAUUCACUUUAUACCACACUGCCUUCGAAUUCUCCAGAACAUGCUCUAAUACUUUAUCGUUUCUAUAGCAACAACCUACACAGGGAAUUGUAUGUUGUUAUAUUGUAUAAAUGUAAUUGUAGUCCAUCAUACUCUACCAUGCUAUUUAUAAUAACAUACUUUUGUUUAAUUAUUAUUUAAUCUUUUUUUUAAGAUUAAGGCGGGGGGGGCACUUCCAUCAAUCAUCAUUGCAACACCUGAUCCCUAGGUGGCGGUAAUGUACAAUUCAGCACAGAAGAAGAAGAGGAGGAGGCGCUGGGGGAGAACAAGCAAGGAAGAAGAGUGUUAAUGGUGUUUACUGCUCAUCUGGAGAGUCACCGCCAUCUUUCUGCAGGGGGUUAGAAGUGAACCUGACGGAGAGUGAAGCUUACAGAGGCGAAGUGUUCACGCUACAGCAAAUUUC